rnacentral:rRNA from 1 species
UGGCGGCAUGGCUAAAACAUGCAAGUCGAACGAGAAAGCACUUCGGUGCGAGUACAGUGGCGAAAGGGCGAGUAACGCGUACCUAACGUACCUCCAGGUGAGGGAUAGCUCGGGGAAACCCGUGGUAAUACCUCAUAACCCCGUAAUGUCGUAUGGCAAAUCGGGCAAAGGCUUGCUGCCUGGAGAUCGGGGUGCGUCCUAUCAGCUUGUUGGUGAGGUAACGGCUCACCAAGGCUUAGACGGGUAGCGGGUGUGAGAGCAUGACCCGCCGCAUCGGGACUGAGACACUGCCCGGACUCCUACGGGAGGCUGCAGUAACGAAUAUUCCGCAAUGCGCGAAAGCGUGACGGAGCAAUGCCGCGUGUGGGAUGAAGCAUCUAGGUGUGUAAACCACUGUCAGGGACUAGGAAACAUUUGACCAGAACCCAAAGGAAGAGCCGGCUAACUCUGUGCCAGCAGCCGCGGUAAUACAGAGGGCUCAAGCGUUAAUCGGAAUCACUGGGCUUAAAGGGUCCGCAGGCGGGUUGGAAAGUAUCUUGUGAAAUACCACGGCUCAACCGUGGAAUUGCUCGGUAAACUUCCAACCUUGAACACGACAGGGGCUAUCAGAACUCUAGGUGGAGCGGUGAAAUGCGUAGAUA